GAACAAACGCGGGCGGCGUGCCUAACACAUGCAAGUCGUACGCGAAAGGGUCCUUCGGGGCCUGAGUAAAGUGGCGCACGGGUGAGUAACGCGUGGAUAAUCUGCCCUUAAGUCGGGAAUAACUCAUCGAAAGGUGGGCUAAUACCGGAUAAUGCUGUUUUUACCUCGGUGAUGCAGCCAAAGGGGGCCUCUAUUUAUAAGCUCUUGCUUAAGGAUGAGUCCGCGUACCAUUAGCUAGUUGGUGGGGUAAUGGCCUACCAAGGCCGCGAUGGUUAGCUGGUCUGAGAGGAUGAUCAGCCACACUGGAACUGAGACACGGUCCAGACUCCUACGGGAGGCAGCAGUGAGGAAUCUUGCGCAAUGGGGGCAACCCUGACGCAGCAACGCCGCGUGAGUGAGGAAGGUUUUCGGAUUGUAAAGCUCUGUCGGGUGGAAAGAAAGACAUGGGGGUUAAUACCUCCCAUGUUCGACGGUACCACCAAAGGAAGCACCGGCUAACUCCGUGCCAGCAGCCGCGGUAAUACGGGGGGUGCAAGCGUUGUUCGGAAUUAUUGGGCGUAAAGAGCGUGUAGGCGGCUUGAUAAGUCAGAUGUGAAAGCCCUGGGCUUAACCCAUGAAGUGCAUUUGAAACUGUCUUGCUUGAGUAAGGGAGGGGGAAGUGGAAUUCCUGGUGUAGAGGUGGAAUUCGUAGAUAUCAGGAGGAACACCGGUGGCGAAGGCGACUUCCUGGCCCUAUACUGACGCUGAGACGCGAGAGCGUGGGUAGCAAACAGGAUUAGAUACCCUGGUAGUCCACGCCGUAAACGAUGUUCACUAGGUGUUGGGGGUAUUGACCCCCUCAGUGCCGGAGCUAACGCAUUAAGUGAACCGCCUGGGGAGUACGGUCGCAAAACU
rnacentral:rRNA from 1 species